UGAAGGCCUUCGGGUUGUAAAGCUCUUUCGCCUGGGAACAAGGAAAAUUAGCUAAUACCUAAUAACUUGAGGGUACCAGGUAAAGAAGCACCGGCUAACUCCGUGC
rnacentral:rRNA from 1 species